GAUUGGGUAUGUCAUGUUCACUGGUCAGCAUUAGACCAUGUAGUAACCCAGGCUUUGUGGAUUAUGCAUCCCAAUCCAGCCAGUAUAGGACCCAUGAAGCUGACCUGCUUUAUUGGGGCUAUAGAUACAGGGUUCACUUUAGUUCUUAAAUAAGACGAGGAGCUCUGAUUAUUUUUAUUUAAAUCUUUAUUCAUUAUUAUAUGUUAGUACACUGUAGCUGUCUUCAGACACACCAAAAGAGGGCAUCAGAUCUCAUUACGGGUGGUUGUGAGCCACCAUAUGGUUGCUGGGAUUUGAACUCAGGACUUUCAGAAGAACAGUCAGUGCUCUUAACCACCUAGUCAUCUCUCCAGCCCCUGAUUUGGUUUUUAAUCUGUGUUUAUGAUAAUAGGCAAAAUUUAUCUUAUAGAUAGAUUUCUUUUUUGUGUUUGUCAAUACUGGGUUUUUCUGUGUAGCAUUAGCUGUCCUGGAACUCAACCUGUAGACCAGGCUGUCCUUGAAUUCACAGUGCUAGGAUAAAGGGCCUGUCUAGUGCUGGGAUUAAGGGUUUACACCAUCACAACCUAUGGGUUCUUAGCUUAUAAUUGCACGUAGUUAUCUUUUUUGGGAAGCAGGGGGGGGUCGUGGUAGAUUAGAGAUAGGGGUUCUCUGUAUAGCCAUGACUGUCCUGGAACUCACCUUGUAGAAUAGACUCGCCUUGAACUCAGAGAUCUUCUGCCUCUGCCACCCCCACCCCAGUACUGGGAAUAAAGAUAACUGGCUCUUUUUUCUUACAUUAACACCAACUAUUAUUGCCUGGUAGUUCAAAGUUCUAAUAAAAGCUUUAGUGUAACUAUUGUGUAUACCACACUGACUGGCUGAUUAAAGAUUAACUGCCUUCAUUUCAGGAAGGUUGGUAACGAAUCCUAGCAUAAGAUAAGCAAGGUUGUGUCAGGUUUGAACUACAAUGACCUCUAAAAAACACCCCAAUAAGGUGAGAAGUGUUCUGAGGUGAUGAGCAGUGUCUUUGAGAGCUGCUCAUCUGAGAUAUACAGAAGUAUGCAUUGUUUCAGGUCAUUUUCAGGUUAAAUACAUUGGGAAGGGACUACAACUAAGCAGUUAAUGGGGAUUUUUUUUCCCAUUUUUAAAAGAUUUGUUUGUUUGUCUUAUGAGUGUGCUGUCACUGUCUUUAGACACACCAGAAGAGGGCUUUGGACCCGUUACAGAUGGUUGUGAACCACCGUGUGGUAUCUGGGAUUUGAACUCAGAACCUCUGGAAGAGCAGUCAGCGCUCUUAACCACUGAGCCAUCUCUCCAGCCCAGGAAAAUAACUUUAUAUGUGGGUUUAGAUGACUUUGUUUUAUAUGGAUGGAUGUCUUGCCUACAUGUAUGUCUUUGCACCACGUUUGACUGGCAUCCUCAGAGGGCAGGAGAAGAUAUCAGAUCCUUGGGGAACUAGAGUUACAGACAGUUGUGAGUCAUCAUGUGAGUGUUUGGAAUUGAAUCCAGUUCUUUGAGAAGAGCAACCAGUGCUCUUAGUCAUUGAGCCAUCCCUCUAGCCCUAUUUUAUUUUAUCUUGAGACACAGGCUUACUAUGUAGCCUUGGCUGGCCUAGAGUUCACUUCAUAGACCAGACUGGACUCAAACUCAAAGACAUCUGCCUGCCUCUGCCUUCCAAGUACUAAAACUAAAGGCAUAUACUACCAUUCCCACCUAGAGUGCUUUUAAAAUGGUCCAUGUACUGGAGAUGUUUCUCAGUGGUAAAGCAUUUAACCUACCAUAUGUAAAAGUCCUGGGUUCACGCUCUGAUAUCACAGUAAGUAUGUAAGUAAUUAACUUGCACGAAAUGUGAUACAAUGGUUCUUAGGUCAGACUGGUGACCUGGUGGUCUGGCAGUUAGCAGGACUUUAGUGUUCCUCAGGUCUUAGGAUACUACAGCCUUACUGUUGUCUUUCCCCUCAAAGAACAAAAUUACUUUCUUUAAGCUUAAAAUACUGAAAAGCAAAAAUACUACCAAUAAGUGGAAUUCAAGGUCAGUGGUGACUGAUCCAUUAACCUCCUGGAUGUGCCAUGUGGGGUCUUUCUUUCUUGAUCCAACAGCAUUUAUUUUAGAGAAAGUUACUUUUAAUCUCAAACUUUUUAAAGAUGGUCUACCUGUCUGAGGCUAUUCCUCAUUAGCUUUACUGAAGUGUUAUUUCUGAGGAUGCCGGCUGCCUGUUAUAGCCCCUUAUCAUGUUUUUCUCGCCCAUAACUGGGUAAGUUACUCGCAGUGUAGCCUCUCUGGUUGCUGAGGUACGUAGGUAUUGUGGUUGGAGUGUGAAGUGUCUCCGACAGGCUCAUGUGUUGGACAGUCGGUCCCCAGUGGGUAGUGCUAUUUUGGGAGGUGUAGAAACUUUAGGAGGUGGCUCUAGCUAGAGGAAGUAGGUCACUAGAGGCAUGCCUUUAAAGUUACAGCCACUCCCUGGUCUCCUGCUUGCUCUCCACUUCUGGCCAACAAGGAAGGCGCCUCCUCUGCAUGCUCUCAUUGCCACUGCUCCAUCCAACCAUGUGCUGAAACCAUGGGCCAGUAAGGCUUGCCUUCUUUAGGUUGACAUCUGAGUUUUGGACAUAUUCUUGAAUGCCAGGAUAGCCAGGUCUACACAGUGGGGGUCCCUGGCUCCCCUACCCCCCCCC
rnacentral:lncRNA from 1 species